rnacentral:rRNA from 1 species
AACGAACGCUGGCGGCAUGCCUAACACAUGCAAGUCGAACGAGACCUUCGGGUCUAGUGGCGCACGGGUGCGUAACGCGUGGGAACCUGCCCUUAGGUUCGGAAUAACUCCCCGAAAGGGGUGCUAAUACCGGAUAAUGUCUUCGGACCAAAGAUUUAUCGCCUUUGGAUGGGCCCGCGUUGGACUAGCUAGUUGGUAGGGUAAAAGCCUACCAAGGCGACGAUCCAUAGCUGGUCUGAGAGGAUGAUCAGCCACACUGGGACUGAGACACGGCCCAGACUCCUACGGGAGGCAGCAGUGGGAAUAUUGGACAAUGGGCGAAAGCCUGAUCCAGCAAUGCCGCGUGAGUGAUGAAGGCCUUAGGGUUGUAAAGCUCUUUUACCCGGAAUGAUAAUGACAGUACCGGGAGAAUAAGCUCCGGCUAACUCCGUG